GACCGGAGUGGACGCAUCACUGGUGUUCGGGUUGUCAUGCCAAUGGCACUGCCCGGUAGCUAAAUGCGGAAGAGAUAAGUGCUGAAAGCAUCUAAGCACGAAACUUGCCCCGAGAUGAGUUCUCCCUGAGACUUUAAGUCUCCUGAAGGAACGUUAAAGACGAUGACGUUGAUAGGCCGGGUGUGUAAGCGCAGCGAUGCGUUGAGCUAACCGGUACUAAUGAACCGUGAGGCUUAACCUUAC
rnacentral:rRNA from 1 species